rnacentral:rRNA from 1 species
CAAGCAGCCGCGGUAAUUCCAGCUCCAAUAGCGUAUAUAAAAGUUGUUGCCGUUAAAAAGCUCGUAGUCGAACCUCGGCGCCUGAUGGCCGGUCCGCCUUCUUGGUGUGUACUUGCUCAUCGGGCGCUUACCUCCUGGUGAACUCUGAUGUCCUUUACUGGGUGUCAGAGCAAACCAGGACGUUUACUUUGAAAAAAUUAGAGUGUUCAAAGCAGGCCUACGCCCGAAUACAUUAGCAUGGAAUAAUAGAAUAGGACGCGCGUUCCCAUUUUGUUGGUUUCUGAGAUCGCCGUAAUGAUUAAUAGGGAUAGUUGGGGGCAUUUGUAUUCCGUCGUCAGAGGUGAAAUUCUUGGAUUGCCGGAAGACAAACUACUGCGAAAGCAUUUGCCAAGGAUGUUUUCAUUGAUCAAGAACGAAGGAAGGGGGAUCGAAAACGAUCAGAUACCGUUGUAGUCUCUUCUGUAAACUAUGCCAAUUGGGGAUUAGCACAGGAUUUUCAAUGACUGUGUUAGCACCCGAAGAGAAAUCUUUAAAUGAGGUUCGGGGGGGAGUAUGGUCGCAAGGCUGAAACUUAAAGGAAUUGACGGAAGGGCACCACCAGGUGUGGAGCCUGCGGCUUAAUUUGACUCAACACGGGGAAACUCACCAGGUCCAGACACAAUAAGGAUUGACAGAUUGAUAGCUCUUUCUUGAUCUUGUGGUUGGUGGUGCAUGGCCGUUCUUAGUUGGUGGAGUGAUUUGUCUGGUUAAUUCCGAUAACGAACGAGACCUUAACCUGCUAAAUAGACCAGUCGACUUUGGUUGACUGCUGUCUUCUUAGAGGGACUAUCAGCGUUUAGCUGAUGGAAGUUUGAGGCAAUAACAGGUCUGUGAUGCCC